rnacentral:lncRNA from 1 species
CGCAGGUGGCUCCUCAGCCCACCACGGGCCACGGUGGUCUGAUAAAGAUGAGCCACAGAAGCACAGGGCCAUAGUGACAAAAGGAAUACUGGCAGCAUCAAAAUGACCACCAGAGAGAAAACCUACGUCACGAACUGAGGCGACAGGAUGCGCUCUGACUGAUCACCCAACCCACAGCUUAAGGUUCUGUUGUUUUCCCUUGCCUUACGAAGUGUCAAACCCAGGGUUCUGCCUUCACUAGACAAGCAACUCUACUGCUGAGCUACAUCCCCAGCCCAUCAAGAACGCUGAGACUCCAUAAGACAUGGGCUGGACCUCAGUGAGCUGACAGGCUACAUUGAGAAGAAGAAUAUUCAGCACAGAGAUAAUUAUUGGUGUUGCUCAUCACUGUACACUAAAUCAAAGCCAAAGCAAAACAAGGGGGGUGGGGAAGUAGAUAAAUGUAGGUGAAAUUGGCAAAGUUAAAAUACACAUGAGUGACCUGUACACUUCAAGCCAUGAGUCUGGCUCCCUGACCCCAUCUGUAAGUCAACGCAGAACACAUACUCACACUGAAGGCUCACCGUUCACAACCUCUAGCAGAGAAGGAACGAGACAAUUGGUCCGAUGACUUAGUUCUCAAACGCCAAAAGUAGGAUGAUCACGUGAGCCAGAAGUGUCUGUGAUGCGCCUCUUGGAUCUCUUCAGGGAGACACAUCUCCUGAAAUAGCAACGCCACUCAGAAUCAAGCUACAGUUUUGAGUUGACAAGUUCAAGGUAAGCUAAAGCCGUUUCCAAAGCAAUGAAGGUUCAUUCUCCUUGCAGGUUCUCCUUGCUUUAAAAGCUUUGUGUCUGAGAAACUCC